rnacentral:rRNA from 1 species
AUUGAACGCUGGCGGCAUGCCUUACACAUGCAAGUCGAACGGUAACGCGCGGCAACCUGGCGACGAGUGGCGAACGGGGGAGUAAUGCAUCGGAACGUGCCCAGAAGGGGGGGCUAGCCCGGCGAAAGCAGGCUACCUACCGCACGAAACCUGAGGCCGACAGCGGGGGAUCGCAAGACUUCGCGCUUUUGGAGCGGCCGAUGUCGGAUUAGCAAGUUGGUGGGGUAAAGGCCUACCAAGGCGACGAUCUGUAGCUGGUCUGAGAGGACGACCAGCCACACUGGGACUGAGACACGGCCCAGACUCCUACGGGAGGCAGCAGUGGGGAAUUUUGGACAAUGGGCGCAAGCCUGAUCCAGCCAUGCCGCGUGCGGGAAGAAGGCCUUCGGGUUGUAAACCGCUUUUGUCAGGGAAGAAACGCUCUGGGCUAAUACCCUGGGGUAAUGACGGUACCUGAAGAAUAAGCACCGGCUAACUACGUGCCAGCCGCCGCAGUAA